AUAGCUCCUUGCAUAGUGGUAGAGAAGUAGCGUGGGUCUUUACUAUUGGAAAUCUUCACAAGGGUACUGGUAGCCUACUUGAAGUUUGAGCAUAAUAAACAAUGGGAAGAAAGGAUGGCAAACCAAGAGGACGCAUGUCGUCGUAUGCAUUUUUUGUGCUACUACACAGGAUUAUUUUUUUUCUGUGUUAAACAUGUCGCUCCAAGUUUGAUACAGAGGUGAGAUUUGACCAUUUGCACAUCUCGUGCCAUUACUGGUUGGUAGUUAUCUGAUCAUGACAUGAUUGUAAAUCAAAACUUUUGAGGAGUACUCAUUUUUUGUUUUUCCAUUUUGACAGACUCCACAUUUUCUCAUGAUUCAUUAAGAUGAUUUCAUAAAAUUUCUCAUGUGUUUUAUAGAGUCCCUUGAAUUCUGGAAAUACUGUAAUGAAAAAAAAUCAUUUGAAAAUAUUUUUCUUGCAAAGUUGUACAAAUUAGAAAAAUAUUUAUAUAUCUUACAUUGUUCUGUUUAAUACUAUUUUUUAAAUAUUGUAAAUUAAUUGCAAUAAAUUUAUGUAUACCUUU
rnacentral:misc_RNA from 1 species